rnacentral:rRNA from 1 species
UCAAUAAGCGGAGGAAAAGAAACCAACAGGGAUUGCCUUAGUAACGGCGAGUGAAGCGGCAACAGCUCAAAUUUGAAAUCUGGCCCUUGGGUCCGAAUUGUAAUUUGUAGAGGAUGAUUUUGGUGCGGUAUCUUCCGAGUUCCUUGGAACAGGACGCCUUAGAGGGUGAGAGCCCCGUACGGUUGAAUGCCUAGCCUCUGUAAAUCUCCUUCGACGAGUCGAGUAGUUUGGGAAUGCUGCUCUAAAUGGGAGGUAAAUUUCUUCUAAAGCUAAAUAUUGGCCAGAGACCGAUAGCGCACAAGUAGAGUGAUCGAAAGAUGAAAAGCACUUUGAAAAGAGGGUUAAAUAGCACGUGAAAUUGUUGAAAGGGAAGGAUUUGUGACCAGACUUUUUCUGGGCGGAUCAUCCGGGGUUCUCUCCGGUGCACUUCGCCCAGUAAAGGCCAGCAUCGGUUUUCGGCGUGGGAUAAAAGCAGUAGGAAUGUGGCUCUCUACGGGGAGUGUUAUAGCCUAUUGUAUAAUACCGCGCUGGGGACCGAGGUUCGCGCUUCUGCAAGGAUGCUGGCGUAAUGGUUAUCAAUCACCCGUCUUGAAACACGGACCAAGGAGUCGAACAUUUGUGCAAGUGUUUGGGUGUUAAACCCUCACGCGUAAUGAAAGUGAACGGAGGUGAGAGCCCUUACGGGUGCAUCAUCGACCGAUCCUGAAGUUUUCGGAUGGAUUUGAGUAAGAGCAUAACUGUUCGGACCCGAAAGAUGGUGAACUAUGCGUGGAUAGGGUGAAGCCAGAGGAAACUCUGGUGGAGGCUCGCAGCGGUUCUGACGUGCAAAUCGAUCGUCAAAUCUGCGCAUGGGGGCGAAAGACUAAUCGAACCAUCUAGUAGCUGGUUACCGC